rnacentral:rRNA from 1 species
GACGAACGCUGGCGGCGUGCUUAACACAUGCAAGUCGAACGGUAAGGCUCCAGCUUGCUGGGGUACACGAGUGGCGAACGGGUGAGUAACACGUGGGCGACCUGCCCUGCACUUCGGGAAAAGCCUGGGAAACUGGGUCCAAUAACGGAAAGGACCACGGUGUGGAUACUGUGGUGGAAAGAUUUUUCGGUGUGGGACGGGAUCGCGGCCUAUAAGCCUGUUGGUGGGGGAAUGGCCAACCAAGGCGGCUACGGGUAGCCGGCCUGAGAGGGUGAACGGCCACAUUGGGACUGAGACGCGGCCCAGACUCCUACGGGAGGCAGGAGUGUGGAAUAUUGCACAAUGGACGGAAGCCUGAUGCAGCGACGCCGCGUGGGGGAUGACGGCCUUCGGGUUGUAGGCUCAUUUCACCAUCGACGAAGGGUUUCUGACGGUAGAUGGAGAAGAAGCACCGGCUAACUACGUG